UGCCAGCCGCCGCGGUAAUACGAAGGGAACUAGCGUUGUUCGGAUUUACUGGGCGUAAAGAGCAUGUAGGCGGAUUGGACAGUUGGAGGUGAAAUCCCGGAGCUCAACUCCGGAACUGCCUUCAAUACUUCCAGUCUAGAAUCUGUAGGGGGUGGUGGAAUUCCGAGUGUAGAGGUGAAAUUCGUAGAUAUUCGGAGGAACACCAGUGGCGAAGGCGACCACCUGGUACAGUAUUGACGCUGAGAUGCGAAAGCGUGGGGAGCAAACAGGAUUAGAUA
rnacentral:rRNA from 1 species